UCUUGGUCAUUUUAGAGGAAGUAAAAGUCGUAACAAGGUUUCCGUAGGUGAACCUGCGGAAGGAUCAUUAUUAUAAUGCGUGGAAAUGCCCCUAACAAGGGCUCUCUAUAAAACUCUAAACUUACUGUCUGAGAAGGCCAUGUGCCGUAAUCUUUAAACAUUUUAAAACUUUCAACAACGGAUCUCUUGGUUCUCGCAUCGAUGAAGAACGCAGCGAAAUGCGAUAAGUAAUGUGAAUUGCAGAAUUCAGUGAAUCAUCGAAUCUUUGAACGCACAUUGCGCCCUUUGGUAUUCCAUAGGGCAUGCCUGUUCGAGCGUCACUAAAAACCUCAUCACAAAGAGUGUGGUAUUGGCAGAAGUGGGUAGGGCUAGCAAGGAAGUGCUGGCCCCACUCUGCUGGAAUGAAUAGGCCGGAAAUGUAGACCAUGGUAACAGACUUUCAGAGUAUCGUCAAAUGCUAAAUUAGUUUGUAUGCUUGGUCAGAAUCUAGGCCAUUGGACCCCCAUUCUGUAUAAAGCAGUAAUGUUGACCUCGGAUCAGGUAGGGAUACCCGCUGAACUUAAGCAUAUCAAUAAAGCGGAGGAA
rnacentral:rRNA from 1 species